GGCGCAGCUUACACAUGCAGUCGAGCGGGGUGAUGGUGCUUGCCUAUCACCUAGCGGCGGACGGGUGAGUAAUGCUUAGGAAUCUGCCUAUUAUUGGGGGACAACAUUUCGAAAGGAAUGCUAAUACCGCAUACGUCCUACGGGAGAAAGCAGGGGAUCUUCGGACCUUGCGCUAAUAGAUGAGCCUAAGUCGGAUUAACUAGUUGGUGGGGUAAAGGCCUACCAAGGCGACGAUCUGUAGCGGGUCUGAGAGGAUGAUCCGCCACACUGGGACUGAGACACGGCCCAGACUCCUACGGGAGGCAGCAGUGGGGAAUAUUGGACAAUGGGCGCAAGCCUGAUCCAGCCAUGCCGCGUGUGUGAAGAAGGCCUUAUGGUUGUAAAGCACUUUAAGCGAGGAGGAGGCUACUUUAGAUAAUACCUAGAGAUAGUGGACGUUACUCGCAGAAUAAGCACCGGCUAACUCUGUGCCAGCAGCCGCGGUAAUACAGAGGGUGCAAGCGUUAAUCGGAUUUACUGGGCGUAAAGCGCGCGUAGGCGGCUAAUUAAGUCAAAUGUGAAAUCCCCGAGCUUAACUUGGGAAUUGCAUUCGAUACUGGUUAGCUAGAGUGUGGGAGAGGAUGGUAGAAUUCCAGGUGUAGCGGUGAAAUGCGUAGAGAUCUGGAGGAAUACCGAUGGCGAAGGCAGCCAUCUGGCCUAACACUGACGCUGAGGUGCGAAAGCAUGGGGAGCAAACAGGAUUAGAUACCCUGGUAGUCCAUGCCGUAAACGAUGUCUACUAGCCGUUGGGGCCUUUGAGGCUUUAGUGGCGCAGCUAACGCGAUAAGUAGACCGCCUGGGGAGUACGGUCGCAAGACUAAAACUCACAUGAAUUGACGGGGGCCCGCACAACCGGUGGAGCAUGUGGUUUAAUUCGAUGCAACGCGAAGAACCUUACCUGGCCUUGACAUAGAAGGAACUUUCCAGAGAUGGAUGGGGGCGUUCGGGACUUACCUACGGUGCUGCAUGGCUAUCGGCAGCUCGCGCGGGAAAUGUGGCGUAGGUCCCCCACCAACGCAGCCGUUUCCUUAUUGCCAGCCAGGAAGGGCGGGAACUUUUGGUUUUUGCCGUUACCACCUGAAGGAAGGCGG
rnacentral:rRNA from 1 species